CCUACGGGAGGCUGCAGUGGGGAAUAUUGGACAAUGGGGGCAACCCUGAUCCAGCCAUGCCGCGUGUGUGAAGAAGGCCCUCGGGUUGUAAAGCACUUUCAGUGAGGAAGAACGCCUGGUGGUUAAUACCCAUCAGGAAAGACAUCACUCACAGAAGAAGCACCGGCUAACUCCGUGCCAGCAGCCGCGGUAAUACGGAGGGUGCGAGUGUUAAUCGGAAUUACUGGGCGUAAAGCGCGCGUAGGUGGCUUGAUAAGCCGGUUGUGAAAGCCCCGGGCUCAACCUGGGAACGGCAUCCGGAACUGUCAAGCUAGAGUGCCGGAGAGGAAGGUAGAAUUCCCGGUGUAGCGGUGAAAUGCGUAGAGAUCGGGAGGAAUACCAGUGGCGAAGGCGGCCUUCUGGACUGACACUGACACUGAGGUGCGAAAGCGUGGGUAGCAAACAGGAUUAGAUACCCUAGUAGUC
rnacentral:rRNA from 1 species